rnacentral:rRNA from 1 species
UGGGGAAUAUUGGACAAUGGGCGAAAGCCUGAUCCAGCCAUGCCGCGUGUGUGAAGAAGGUCUUCGGAUUGUAAAGCACUUUAAGUUGGGAGGAAGGGCAGUAAGCGAAUACCUUGCUGUUUUGACGUUACCGACAGAAUAAGCACCGGCUAACUCUGUGCCAGCAGCCGAGGUAAUACAGAGGGUGCAAGCGUUAAUCGGAAUUACUGGGCGUAAAGCGCGCGUAGGUGGUUCGUUAAGUUGAAUGUGAAAGCCCCGGGCUCAACCUGGGAACUGCAUCCAAAACUGGCGAGCUAGAGUAGGGCAGAGGGUGGUGGAAUUUCCUGUGUAGCGGUGAAAUGCGUAGAUAUAGGAAGGAACACCAGUGGCGAAGGCGACCACCUGGGCUCAUACUGACACUGAGGUGCGAAAGCGUGGGGAGCAAACAGG